rfam:Salmo salar isolate Sally breed double haploid chromosome ssa05, whole genome shotgun sequence.
AAUGCACGAACUUGUAAGUCGCUCUGGAUAAGAGCGUCUGCUAAAUGACGUAAA